rnacentral:misc_RNA from 1 species
GAGAAGAACGUAGCGAAAUGCGAUAAGUAGUGUGAAUUGCAGAAUUCAGUGAAUCAUCGAAUCUUUGAACGCACAUUGCGCCCUUUGGUAUUCCUUAGGGCAUGCCUGUUCGAGCGUCAUCUAAACCUUCAAGCCCUGCUUGGUGUUGGGUGCCUGUCCCGCCUCCGCGCGUGGACUCACCUCAAAUCCAUUGGCGGCCCCCGCGUCGGCCACGAGCGCAGCAGAAACGCGAACUCGUGAGCCCGUCCGGGCGACUCCCAGAAGCUAACCCCCAAUUUUUGACCUCGGAUCAGGUAGGGAUACCCGCUGAACUUAAGCAUAUCAAUAAGCGGAGGA